GCAGUGGUGGUUCAAUGGUAGAAUUCUCAACUUUCGUGAGGGAGACUGGGGUUCAAUUCCUGGCCAAUGCA
rnacentral:tRNA from 1 species